UGCUCGGUCUGCGUGUCGCCAUGAAAGGACGAUUCAAAUCUCUUUUCAACAAAUGUGGAGCUGAAUUAGAUUUUUUUCCUUUGUUAAAUUGUUUUCCACAUAUUUUCGACUGUGUCUUGUAGAGAACGAGGUCUCCUGCGCACUUGGCGCUAAUGUCUCAUCACCAUAAUGCGCUUCAGCUGUUGAGAAUGUUAACUGCCCCAGACUUGAGGUGAUCACGGAUGCUCUCCGAAACGAGCUCGUGUCAUGGGGAGAAUAAUGAGCACCAACCAUCACGAGACGGACGACGUGCGUCAGUGGCUCUGAGACACUCAUCAAUCUGCGGAACAGAUGCUGUCCGAAAAAGAAAAAAAAACCUCCAUGUGUCAACGCAAUCUGACAAUCUGCCAGAUGAGACGCAGAUCUCAGCCUGUGUGGCAGCAGGGAGUCUUCUCUAAGGAAGUACACCCUUGAGGCUAAUACAGUUCAAACAUUGACUUUAGUGAUGAAGACUAACAUAAAACUGUCAUCCGGAGUUCUUCCACAUUUCUGCACAUUGUUCCUCCACUGACGGCUCUACGUCUGAAGCAGG